GUGGGCAACCUGCCUGUAAGACUGGGAUAACUCCGGGAAACCGGGGCUAAUACCGGAUAAUUCUUUCCCUCACAUGAGGGAAAGCUGAAAGAUGGUUUCGGCUAUCACUUACAGAUGGGCCCGCGGCGCAUUAGCUAGUUGGUGAGGUAACGGCUCACCAAGGCGACGAUGCGUAGCCGACCUGAGAGGGUGAUCGGCCACACUGGGACUGAGACACGGCCCAGACUCCUACGGGAGGCAGCAGUAGGGAAUCUUCCGCAAUGGACGAAAGUCUGACGGAGCAACGCCGCGUGAGUGAUGAAGGUUUUCGGAUCGUAAAACUCUGUUGUUAGGGAAGAACAAGUACCGGAGUAACUGCCGGUACCUUGACGGUACCUAACCAGAAAGCCACGGCUAACUACGUGCCAGCAGCCGCGGUAAUACGUAGGUGGCAAGCGUUGUCCGGAAUUAUUGGGCGUAAAGCGCGCGCAGGCGGUUCCUUAAGUCUGAUGUGAAAACC
rnacentral:rRNA from 2 species